ACGCACGCUGGCGGCGUGCUUAACACAUGCAAGUCGAACGGAAAGGCCCUGCUUUUGUGGGGUGCUCGAGUGGCGAACGGGUGAGUAACACGUGAGUAACCUGCCCUUGACUUUGGGAUAACCUCAGGAAACUGGGGCUAAUACCGGAUAGGAGCUCCUGCUGCAUGGUGGGGGUUGGAAAGUUUCGGCGGUUGGGGAUGGACUCGCGGCUUAUCAGCUUGUUGGUGGGGUAGUGGCUUACCAAGGCUUUGACGGGUAGCCGGCCUGAGAGGGUGACCGGCCACAUUGGGACUGAGAUACGGCCCAGACUCCUACGGGAGGCAGCAGUGGGGAAUAUUGCACAAUGGGCGGAAGCCUGAUGCAGCAACGCCGCGUGCGGAAUGACGGCCUUCGGGUUGUAAACCGCUUUCGCCUGUGACGAAGCGUGAGUGACGGUAAUGGGUAAAGAAGCACCGGCUAACUACGUG
rnacentral:rRNA from 1 species